AUCACUUCUCAGCCUUUUGGCUAAGAUCAAGUGUAGUAUCUGUUCUUAACAGUUUAGUAUCCGAUAUGUCCUCUAUCUGAGAACAAUAUAACACAUGCAUUUUUGGAAUCAGGAGACAGAAUAGGAGCUUGCUCUGUCCAUUUCACACUUCAGCCUGGUACUGCAGAACCGGUACUUCAGGUAUAGAGAAAAUCUG
ensembl:snRNA U2 U2 spliceosomal RNA